CAAGCAAUGCUUGCCACACUCAUCAGGUGGAUUUAAAUUCACCUGAUGAGUGUGGCAAGCAUUGCUUGUC
rnacentral:miRNA from 1 species